rnacentral:rRNA from 1 species
GAUGAACGCUGGCGGCGUGCCUAAUACAUGCAAGUCGAACGCAUAGCGAAAGGUGCUUGCACCUUUCAAGUGAGUGGCGAACGGGUGAGUAACACGUGGACAACCUGCCUCAAGGCUGGGGAUAACAUUUGGAAACAGAUGCUAAUACCGAAUAAAACUUAGUGUCGCAUGACACAAAGUUAAAAGGCGCUUCGGCGUCACCUAGAGAUGGAUCCGCGGUGCAUUAGUUAGUUGGUGGGGUAAAGGCCUACCAAGACAAUGAUGCAUAGCCGAGUAGAGAGACUGAUCGGCCACAUUGGGACUGAGACACGGCCCAAACUCCUACGGGAGGCUGCAGUAGGGAAUCUUCCACAAUGGGCGAAAGCCUGAUGGAGCAACGCCGCGUGUGUGAUGAAGGCUUUCGGGUCGUAAAGCACUGUUGUAUGGGAAGAACAGCUAGAAUAGGAAAUGAUUUUAGUUUGACGGUACCAUACCAGAAAGGGACGGCUAAAUACGUG